ACCAAGUAUUAAAACCAAUGGAAGCCUAUGGGCCCCCUAGUGGAUUUUGGUGGUAGGGCGGCUAAAAAACUCACAUACCCCUCCAAGAAUAAUGUGCUGUAUCAUGACCAAACUUGAUACAACACUUGGUGACCCUUUGUUCAUUAGGUCCAAAGUCUGGUAAAACUGAGGCUCAUGUGCACUCACUUGGUUUGGUAAACUUGUACAAAAAAGUCACUUUAACACAAAUACAACCCCUCCCUCUCAGGUAGAUAUAAACGAGGAGACCCCACAGGACCAGUCACCCACUUUCUGCUAGAACAUCCGACGCAGAUUUCUUUUGAUGCAGUUUUUGAAAAACCUUCUUCUUCAAUCAAGAAUGGCUUCUCAAAGCUUACAACUGGAACUACCUUGUUUGCACAUAGUGCAUGAAGACCCUGGCCUCUCUGUCUGUCCCGACCCCACAUCCACCAGCUGUGGCAGAGACUGAGGAAACUGAGCCCUCUGAGGUUGGCAGUGACCUUUCAAAUCGAGCCCGACAUGCAGUGGAAGAGUCAUGCAAAAAAAGCUGAUGGCGGAGAUGGGACUGUAUCAGAAACACUCCCUGGAUCAUCCGCUCCUGAAAGACCACCAGAAUGAACAUUUCAAACAGGAGAGAAAAGGAUUCAGAACAAGUUCAGAAGUUUCAGGCCUGUUAGCGUCAAUGAACAACAAACAUAACCCAGGAAAGUUUGGCAUUCUAAUUUUAAAACCUACUAUUGCUUGAGUGAAAGAAAAGGUGCAUCCAGUUUCUUCUAGAAAACAAUAUUUAAGAUGAAAAUCUAAUUUUGCAGGUUCAAUUAACACAUGUCCAGCCCUGAGAGGAGCUCCGUCACAGAAAGUGUCUUCGACCGCGGUGAGUUUGUUAAAACAAAAUUAAAUCAGUGUGACAAGGUGAGAUUUGUAAUAUUUAAACAAAUGUUUGAGGGUUCAGUAAAAUACACACAAACAAACUGUUUCAACAUCUAAUGUCAUGUUGCUAUUGAAGAACUGCAAACAAACCAUCACUGAAAUGAAACAACCCGCGUGUGAGUGUAAAGUCAAACAAUACCUCUCUAUAAUGUGAGGAUUUACCCCUUCAAAGCGAAGAGGAUUUGCCCCUUCAGAGCGAAGAGGAUUUGCCCCUUCAGAGCGAAGAGGAUUUGCCACUACAGAGCGAAGAGUAUUUGCCCCUUCAGAGCGAAGAGGAUUUGCCACUACAGAGCGAAGAGAAUUUGCCACUACAGAGCGAAGAGGAUUUGCCCCUUCAGAGCGAAGAGGAUUUGCCACUACAGAGCGAAGAGUAUUUGCCCCUUCAGAGCGAAGAGGAUUUGCCACUACAGAGCGAAGAGGAUUUGCCACUACAGAGCGAAGAGGA